GAUGAACGCUGGCGGCGUGCCUAAUACAUGCAAGUCGAGCGAACCACUUCGGUGGUGAGCGGCGAACGGGUGAGUAACACGUAGGUGAUCUGCCCAUCAGACGGGGACAACGAUUGGAAACGAUCGCUAAUACCGGAUAGGACGAAAGUUUAAAGGUGCUUCUGGCACCGCUGAUGGAUGAGCCUGCGGCGCAUUAGCUAGUUGGUAGGGUAAAGGCCUACCAAGGCGACGAUGCGUAGCCGACCUGAGAGGGUGAACGGCCACACUGGGACUGAGACACGGCCCAGACUCCUACGGGAGGCAGCAGUAGGGAAUCUUCGGCAAUGGGCGAAAGCCUGACCAAGCAACGCCGCGUGAAUGAUGAAGGCCUUCGGGUUGUAAAAUUCUGUUAUAAGGGAAGAACGACUUUAGUAGGAAAUGACUAGAGUGUGACGGUACCUUAUGAGAAAGCCACGGCUAACUACGUGCCAGCCGCCGCCGUAAAAC
rnacentral:rRNA from 1 species